CAUCCAGUAGAAAAGCGACUUUGAGGAAUAAAUGCCGCCCUCUCCUUCCUCCUCGGAGCAGGUUUCCCAGCAAGCAUCGCGCUUGUUGGCGUCUUCGGGAAGAUGGCGGCGGGGACGGGUAAGCACAAGUUGCUGAGUGCUGGGCCUACAGAGCCAUGGUCUAUCCGGGAAAAACUUUGCUUGGCUUCUUCAGUCAUGCGGAGUGGAGACCAAAACUGGGUUUCUGUCAGCAGAGCCAUCAAACCCUUUGCAGAGCCAGGCCGCCCACCUGAUUGGUUUUCCCAAAAGCAUUGUGCAUCACAAUAUUCUGAGCUUCUGGAGACCACAGAGACCCCAAAAAGAAAGCGUGGUGAGAAGGGAGAAGUGGUAGAAACUGUGGAAGAUGUAAUUGUGAGAAAACUGACAGCAGAACGGGUUGAGGAGUUAAAGAAGAUGAUUAAGGAGACACAGGAAAAGUAUAGGCAGCUGAAGAGGGAUGCAGAACUGAUCCAGGCAGGGCACAUGGACCAUAGGCUGGAGGAACUGUGCAAUGACAUUGUGGUGAAGAAAAGAAUGGAAGAGGAGGAGGCAGAAGUGAAGAGAAAGGCUACAGAUGCUGCUUAUCAAGCUCGUCAGGCAGUUAAGAACACAUCACGAAGACCUCCAGGAAUUAUGGUCCGUUCUCCUGCAGGCUCAACCUCGCCAGGAGCAGACUACAGUCUGGGUGACUUAUCUCAACCCACAUUGGAAGAGGCUAGUCCAGGGGUAACUCCAGGGACAUUGCCCAGCACCCCAGUUGCCUCCUUCAUUGGGAUCCCUGACACCCCUAUGGGCUCCACCUCCCUGGAUGCCCCCAUGACCCCAGUCACAGAUGAUUCAGCCCAGAAAAAGAUGCUAGGACAGAAAGCAACUCCGCCUCCUUCUCCUCUGCUUUCAGAGCUGCUGAAGAAGGGCAGCCUCCUGCCCACAAGCCCCAGGCUGGUGGGUGAGAGCGACAUGACAGUAGUUUCUGGUCACACAAGCAGCUCUGGUCUCCUCCUGGAAGUGGGAGGGGUUCUUCCAGGGCUGCACGGUGGAGAAAUGCAGUCAGCUUCAACUACUGUUCCUGCAUCUCCUGCUGCUUCAGGUGCUCCUACACUUUCCCGCCUUUUAGAAGCUGGUCCAGCGCAAUUCACCACAUCGCUUGCUUCCUUUUCUGCUGUUGCCAGUGAACCUCCAGGCAAACUCCUGCCUCCCCCUGUAGAGUCCGUGUCUCAGGCAACUCUAGUCAUGGUGCCCACGCUACAAGCACCAGCUGCUGUGCCACCCGCUGCAACUCCCGAAAGUGUAGCGACAGGCUUUCACUUGACUUGUCACUCUUGUCCAGUGAGUCAGCCCAACACCUGUGUUUCCAUGGAGGCAGUGCCUGAUCCUCACACUGUGACAGUGUCAAUGGACAGCAGUGAGAUUUCCAUGAUCAUUGAUUCCAUCAAGAAAGAUUGCCUGGGCUCUGGGGCAUCUGGUGCUGUAGGGACUUCCAAAGACCACAGCAUUGAUGGGAAGGAAGACCUAGAUCUGGCUGAGAAGAUGGAUAUUGCAGUUUCCUACACGGGGGAAGAACUGGACUUUGAGACUGUUGGGGACAUCAUAGCUAUCAUUGAAGACAAGGUGGACGACCAUUCUGAAGUCCUGGAUGUAGCAGCAGUAGAGGCUUUCUGCGAUGAGAUUGAGGAUCCUCAGUCACUGACCGACCCCUGGGAGCACCCACUCCAACGAGAGCACCCAAUCCAACAGGAGCACGAGAAGCAGAAUCAGAUCCCCCCAAUGGCUGUGACUGUAAAGCAGGAGAGACCAGACUGUGAGGAAUCAGAGGCUAAGGGGAUCAGAGAUCUGAUGAGCAUUGGGGAUCUGGGAACAGAAAUAAAGACGGAACCUUCUGAGCAGGGACAGAUUCAUCUGAGCCCUGAGGAAGCUUCUGCACUAGCAACCAGAACAAGUGAAGCCCCUGAAGAUGAAGAGACACGGGUUACUGGUCUGGAGUGCUCUGAAAUGGAGAUGGAAUCAUCAAAGGUUGAAAUGGAUCAUGGCACAGUGAAGACAGAGCUUCCCCCUGAUGAUGAUACUUCCUCCCCACAUGCACCAAGUGCAAGCGAAGAUUCCUCACAAGCAGAUCUUCACCACAAAUAUGAGCUUUCAGAAUCAAUGAAGGAAGAAGCCCAAGCUCUUUUUGAGAACCAACUGAAGGGUGAAGAGGAUGAGGAGGAUGGUGCCAGUGAGGCUGCCAGUCUGGAAGAGCCCAAAGAGGAAGAUCAGGGUGAGGGAUACCUCUCUGAAAUGGACAAUGAGCCCCCUGUGAGUGAGAGUGAUGAUGGCUUCAGUAUCCAUAAUGCGCCUUUGCAGUCUCACACUUUGGCUGAUUCCAUUCCCAGCAGCCCCGCCUCCUCACAGUUCUCUGUUUGCAGUGAGGAUCAGGAGGCUAUUCAGGCCCAGAAGAUCUGGAAAAAGGCUAUUAUGUUAGUUUGGAGAGCAGCAGCCAAUCACAGGUAUGCCAAUGUCUUCUUGCAGCCCGUGACCGAUGAUAUAGCUCCAGGUUACCACAGUAUUGUACAGAGGCCAAUGGAUUUAUCAACCAUUAAGAAGAAUAUUGAGAAUGGGCUAAUCCGGACCACAGCAGAGUUCCAACGUGAUAUCAUGCUGAUGUUCCAAAAUGCUGUCAUGUACAACAGCUCUGACCAUGAUGUAUACCACAUGGCUGUGGAAAUGCAGCGAGAUGUCUUGGAGCAGAUUCAGCAAUUUCUAGCCACACAGUUGAUCAUGCAGACGUCUGAGUCUGGGAUCAGUGCAAAAAGUCUGCGUGGACGAGAUUCCACUCGGAAACAAGAUGCUUCAGAGAAGGACAGUGUCCCCAUGGGCUCCCCUGCCUUCCUCCUUUCUCUCUUUACAGAGAAGCAUGAGGAAAGGCAGCCAGAUGGAGUGGGCAGCAGAUGGAAGUGAUCUCUCUAGCUUCCGUACAUUCACAGAGAGCCGCUGUGAGGACAUGCUAGGGAGAUAGUGGCAGGGUCACCCACCUGGAAGAGAACUUCUGUAAAGAGCAGCGCUUGAUCAGGAUGGGGGAACCAGAGGGCGGCGUUGUGCCAUUGAAGCAGAUAUGAAGAUGAAGAAAUGAUGCUGAAGAUAAGAAACAGCCCAGUCUUUGGUGUCUGGACCUAGGAAGCAAAAUGAGAACCUUCCUGAUCCUGAGGAUGAAAUGGCUAUGGACAGGGAAGGGCUGACCUGUCAGUAAUAAAGAAUAUCUAUCAUCCUGGAAUGUGUAACCAGGGUAAUCCCAGAAACAAGAGAGCAGCCCCACUGCCUGUUGUAGGGCAGCAGUAUUUGGGUCCUAUUAGUGUCCUCAUAUUAGCUAGCAACUGGUGGCUAGUACGUACUGUAAUGUGAAGUGUACAGAUUUUUUGUAUUUGUGGAGUGUAAAUGUGUAUAAUAAACUGUAGUAGAGAAUCCUGUA